CUCUCACCUGGCGGCACAGAAUCCUGCCGGCCACGCCCGGUGUCAGGCUGUGGCCCAGGCCAGGAGGAGGGUCGGCCCUGGAAGUUGAAAGGAGAUGUGAGGCAGUGGGGACGGCAGACUGCUCUACCUGGAGGUGACAGCAGCCCAGCCAUCGCCUCCAGAGGCCUUCUUUACGUGCAGGUCAGACAGAGAGGGGUCUUGCUAAGUUGCUGAGGCUUUGGACUCCUGGUCCUUCUGCCUCAGCUGCUGGGAUUUCAGGCGUGGCCACCUUGCUGGGCUAGCAGGGUCUUCCCAUCACAUCCUCUGAAACGGAAAUGCAGAGGCACAGGAAGGUUAAGACACUGACCUGAGGUCGCACAGACAAGUGUCAGGACCGGGGCUGGAAACCAGGCUACCCCUCACCGCCUCUGUAC